rnacentral:rRNA from 1 species
CCUACGGGAGACAGCAGUGAGGAAUAUUGGUCAAUGGCCGGGAGGCUGAACCAGCCAAGUCGCGUGAGGGAAGACGGCCCUACGGUUUGUAAACCUCUUUUGUCAGGGAGCAAGGUGCAGGUCGGGACCUGCUGUGAGAGUACCUGAAGAAAAAGCAUCGGCUAACGCCGUGCAAGCAGCCGCGGUAAUACGGAGGAUGCGAGCGUUUUACGGAUUUAUUGGGUUAAUGGGGUGCGCAGGCGGAGGCACAAGUCAGCGGUAAAAUCGCGGGGCUCAACCCCGCUCCGCCGCGGAAACUGUGUCCCUUGAGUGCGCGAAGGGUAGGCGGAAUGCGUGGUGUAGCGGUGAAAUGCAUAGAUAUCACGCAGAACUCCGAUCGCGAAGGCAGCCUACCGGCGCGCAACUGACGCUGAUGCACGAAAGCGUGGGUAUCGAACAGGAUUAGAUACCCUGGUAGUC